CAAUAGCGUAUAUUAAAGUUGUUGCGGUUAAAAAGCUCGUAGUUGGAUUUCUGUCAAGGACAACUGGUCCGCCCUCCGGGUGAGCACAUAGUUUGGUCUUGGCAUCUUGCUGGGAACUGUUGCUGCACUUGGUUGUGUGGCGCAGCGUCCAGCACUUUCACUUUGAGGAAAUUGGAGUGUUUCAAGCAGGCACAUGCCUUUGGACACAGUAGCAUGGAAUAAUUAGAUUGGGCUUUUGCUCCAACUUGUCGGUUUCUGGAGCUGAGGUGAGAAUUAAUGGGGAUUGUUGGGGGCAUCCGAAUUUAGCCGUCAGAGGUGAAAUUCUUGGAUCUGCUAAAGACGGACAACUGCGAAANCGNNNGCGCAGGAUGUCUUCAUNGA
rnacentral:rRNA from 1 species